rnacentral:misc_RNA from 1 species
UGUGCAUGAAGUUCGUUUUCAGUAUGAGAAACAGAGACAAGAACAAGCUGCACUGGCAGAGGAAUUAGCCUCGUUGAAACAAGUAGAUCAGCUUGGUCAUAAUGCGCAAAGUCCACAUGAGGUGAAGAAUGGACAUUCAAGGUAUAUAGAUUUUCCCCUUAAAUAUCUCUCAUUUUUUAGCAUACAAAUUAUGGUUGAUUGACAGGAUUGAAAUCUCCAUUAGAUUCGGAAAACUAAGGAUGAGUAUAGUUGGGAUAAUACAUCAACAACAUGCUAGUAUGCUACUAUUGGAUCAUUUACUGAGGCAGGAGAAAGGGAGCGUUCCAUAAUUGGUCGUGGACAUUGGAACCAACUACGCUCAAUGGGAGAAGCUAAGAACCUGCUCCAGUAUAUGUUUACUACUGCUUCAGAAGCGAGGUGCCAGCUGUGGGAUAAAGAUAUGGAAAUCAAGGACCUGAAAGACCAACUAAAUGAGAUUGUAACUCUUUUGCGACAAAGUGAGGCCCAGAGGAAAGAACUUGAAAAGGAGCAGAAGAUGAGGGAGCAAGCUGUUGCCAUUGCCUUAGCUACAUCAGCUUCAGUGAGAAUAUCUGCUUAUGACCUUCUAACUUUAUGUCCUUGUUAUUUCAUACAAUCAUGUCUGGGUCUCUAAUGCAUUCAUCUUGAAUAAUAUUUGAAACGUGGGAUGGAAAUCGCCAUUUUUUUCUAAACAAAUAUUGAAAUAUAGUCCCAGUUGUUCAGCUAGGGACAUUUUUGCUAAUGAUCACGUGAUGUAAUGGCUUUGGCCUUCUUGCAUGAGUCUCAAGGGCUGGGUUCAAGCCCAACUACCAAAGCACCAUUGAUGGGAAGGAUUUUGAGAGGAAGAGAGAGUUUCUUCAUUUUGUGUUAAAUACUAACAUUAAUUUUUCCCCCCUUUUUGAAAGAGAAGGGCUAAUGAUACUGUUUUACACUUCUGAAUGGAAAUCAACAGGGUAGCUCACGCAGUUUGUCUAAGCACUAUAUCGAUGAUAUCAGUGGUUCCUUGUCCCCAAUGUCACUUCCAGCGCCAAAGCAACUGAAAUUUACACCUGGGAUUGUUAAUGGGCCUGUCAGAGAGUCGGCGGCGUUUCUAGAUCAGACACGGAAGGUAAUUCCCUUCUGUCUGUUCUUUAUAUCCUGGUCAUUCCAUGUGAAUAACAGAACUGAGAUACUGUAAGAGCAGAUGGUACCAGUUGGGCAGUUUCCAAUGAAGAAACUGGUAGCUGCUGGCCAAACUGGAAAACUCUGGAGGUGGAAGAGAAGUCAUCAUCAGUGGUUGCUUCAGUUCAAAUGGAAGUGGCAGAAGCCA